CUACGGGCCGCUCCAGUGGGGAAUAUUGCACAAUGGGCGCAAGCCUGAUGCAGCCAUGCCGCGUGUAUGAAGAAGGCCUUCGGGCUGUAAUGUACUUUCAGCGGGGAGGAAGGGAGUAAAGUUAAUACCUUUGCUCAUUGACGUUACCCGCAGAAGAAGCACCGGCUAACUCCGUGCCAGCAGCCGCGGGUAACACGGAGGGUGCAAGCGUUAAUCGGAAUUACUGGGCGUAAAGCGCACGCAGGCGGUUUGUUAAGUCAGAUGUGAAAUCCCCGGGCUCAACCUGGGAACUGCAUCUGAUACUGGCAAGCUUGAGUCUCGUAGAGGGGGGUAGAAUUCCAGGUGUAGCGGUGAAAUGCGUAGAGAUCUGGAGGAAUACCGGUGGCGAAGGCGGCCCCCUGGACGAAGACUGACGCUCAGGUGCGAAAGCGUGGGGAGCAAACAGGAUUAGAUACCCCCGUAGUC
rnacentral:rRNA from 1 species